UACGGAGGAUGCAAGCGUUAUCCGGAAUGAUUGGGCGUAAAGCGUCCGCAGGUGGCAAUGUAAGUCUGCUGUUAAAGAGUCUAGCUCAACUAGAUAAAAGCAGUGGAAACUACAUAGCUAGAGUACGUUCGGGGCAGAGGGAAUUCCUGGUGUAGCGGUGAAAUGCGUAGAGAUCAGGAAGAACACCAGUGGCGAAGGCGCUCUGCUAGGCCGUAACUGACACUGAGGGACGAAGCGUGGGGAGCAAAGAGG
rnacentral:rRNA from 1 species